AUGUUGGGAUGUAGGAAAUUUUGGGAUCCGGGAAAUUUUGGAAUCUGGGAAAUUUUGGGAUCUGGGAAAUUUUGGGAUCUGGGAAGUUUUGGGAUACGACAAAUUUUGGGAUCCGGGAAAUUUCGGGAUCUGGGAAAUUUCGGGAUCAGGGAAAUUUUGGGAUCUGGGAAAUUUGGGAAGCUGGGAAUUCUUGGGAUCUGGGAAAUUUUGGGAUCUGGGAACUCUUGGGGUCUGGGAAAUUUUGGGAUACGGGAAAUUUUUGGAUCUGGGAAAUUUCGGGAAGCUGUGAAAUUUUGGGAUACGGGAAAUUUUUGGAUCUGGGAAAUGUUGGGAUCCGGGAAAUUCUGGGAUAUGGGAAAUUGUGGGAUCUGGGAAACUUUGGGAUCCGGGAAAUUUUGGGAUCCAGGAAAUUUUGGGAUCUGGGAAAUUUUGGGAGCUGGGACAUUUUGGGGAAGCCGGGAAAUUUUGGGAUCCAGGAACUCUUGGGAUCCAGGAAAUUUUGGGAUCUGGGAAAUUUUGGGAUCAGGGAAAUUUCGGGAAGCUGCGAACUCUUGGGAUCUGGGAAAUUUUGGGGUCUGGCAAAUUUUGGGAUCCGGGAAAUUUUGUGAUCUGGGAAAUUUUGGGAUUGGGAAAUUUUUGGAUCCGGGAAAUUUCGGGAUCCGGGAAAUUUUGGGAUAUGACAAAUUUUGGGAUCCGGCAAAUUUUGGGAUCUGGGAAAUUUUGGGAUCUGGGAAAUUUUUGGAUCUGGGAAAUUUCGGGAAGCUGGGAACUCUUGGGAUCAGGGAAAUUUUGGGAUCUGGGAAAUUUUGGGAUCCGAGAAAUUUUGGGAUCCGGGAAAUUUUGGGAUCCAGGAAAUUUUGGGAUCCAGGAAAUUUUGGGAAGCUGCGAAAUUUUGGGAUCCGGGAAAUUUUGGGAUCUGGGAAAUUUUGGGAUCUGGGAAAUUUUGUGGUCUGGAAAAUUUUGGAAUUCAGGAAAUGUUGGGAUUUAGGAAAUUUUGGGAUCUGGGAAAUUCUGGGAAGAUGGGAACUCUUGGGAUCAGGGAAAUUUUGGGAUUUAGGAAAUUUUGGGAUAUGGGAAAUUUUUGGAUCUGGGAAAUUUUGGGAUCUAGGAAAUUUUGGGAUCUGGGAAAUUCUGGGAUCCAGGAAAUUUUGGGAUCUGGGAAAUUUUGGGAAGCUGGGAAGUCUUGGAAUCCAGGAAAUUUUGGAAUAUGGGAAAUUUUGGGAUCUGGGAAAUUUUGGGAUUGGGAAAUUUGGGAUCAGGGAAAUUUUGGGAUCUGGGAAAUUUUGGGAUCAGGGAAAUUUUGGGAAUCUGGGAAAUUUUGGGAUCCGGGGGAACAUUUUCCCUCUUUUCCCGCAGCCCAAUUCACGGGGCCCCCCCGGAAGCCGCCGAGAUUCGGGGCUCAGCCCCUGCAGGCGGCGCCCACGGCCCGGCUGGACCGCACGGACGAUCGGAUCUACGGGAACGUCACGGAUCUGGUCCGGGCCGUGCUGGAGCUGAAGGACGAGAUCGGCCUCGUGCCCCCCGAGGGAUACAUCCUGGUGGUCAAGACCAUCGGCCUGUCCCUGCGGAAGCUGAUCGGGAGCGUGGACGCCGUCCUGCCCGCCCUGCCCUGCUCUGCGCACACCGAG
ensembl:lncRNA